rnacentral:rRNA from 1 species
GUGAACGCUGGCGGUAGGCCUAACACCUGCAAGUCGAACGGCAGCACAGUAAGAGCUUGCUCUUACGGGUGGCGAGUGGCGGACGGGUGAGGAAUACAUCGGAAUCUACUUUUUCGUGGGGGAUAACGUAGGGAAACUUACGCUAAUACCGCAUACGACCUACGGGUGAAAGCAGGGGAUCUUCGGACCUUGCGCGAUUGAAUGAGCCGAUGUCGGAUUAGCUAGUUGGCGGGGUAAAGGCCCACCAAGGCGACGAUCCGUAGCUGGUCUGAGAGGAUGAUCAGCCACGCUGGAACUGAGACACGGUCCAGACUCCUACGGGAGGCAGCAGUGGGGAAUAUUGGACAAUGGGCGCAAGCCUGAUCCAGCCAUACCGCGUGGGUGAAGAAGGCCUUCGGGUUGUAAAGCCCUUUUGUUGGGAAAGAAAAGCAGCAGGUUAAUACCCCGCUGUUCUGACGGUACCCAAAGAAUAAGCACCGGCUAACUUCGUG